AUACCUUUCUCGGCCUUUUGGCUAAGAUCAAGUGUAGUAUCUGUUCUUAUCAGUUUAAUAUCUGAUAUGUGGGCCAUGUGCCCACUUCGAUAUUAAAUUUAUUUUUUGUGGGGGAGGGCCCAUCACAGUGGCUUGCCACUGGGGCCCUCGCGCGUCGCCCAGGCGUUGCACUGCUGCCCGGGCCUGGCACACCCCAA
rnacentral:snRNA from 1 species